AAAAUGUAAUACAGCAUCCCCCAAUUCUUUUCCUCUCUACCAUCCCUAACGUUAUUCUACCAUUCUCCCGAUCCCUCCUCUCCUUUCUCCGUUGAAACGUCCACUGCCUGAAGUCUUUUUACCGUUGAUGAGAAAUAUCAAGAGUCCAUUCUAGCUAAUUAGGAAGUCUUUUAAACGUUGAUGAGGAAUAUCAAGAGUCCAUUCCCAUAACAGCAUCCCAAACGUUAUUUUCCCCCAAUUCUUUUCCUCUUUACCAUCCCAAACUUUAUUUUCCCCCAAUUCUUUUUCUCUCUACCAUCCCAAACGUUAUUUUCCCCCAAUCCUUUUCCUCUCUACCAUCCCAAACGUUAUUCUACCGUUCUCCCGAUCCCUCCUCUCCUUUCUCCGUCGAGACGUCCACUGCCACCGUCACAGCCGUUCCUUGUCAGUCCGUUUUUCUCAGAGUCGACGUCGAUCCGUUUUUCUCGGAGUCGACGUUGGUACAAGAAGCGCUCGCGCUGGUUUAUUCGAUGAGAACGGAAAACGCUUAGGGACGUCUAGUGGUCCAAUUCAAAUUCGGAAAGAAGUGACUCUGUUGAGCAAUCGUCAACAGAUAUAUGGCAUGCAAUAUGUGCAGCUAUGAAAUUAGCAUGUUCACUUGCAAAUGUUUCUGGUCAAGAAGUUACUGGCAUUGGUUUUGCUGCUACUUGUUCUCUUGGUUUGUCAUAUUUAUUUUAUCUUGUUUGGGUAGAGGAAUUCUGUUUCAGUGAUAUUUUCAUGUUUGGUAACCUCAUAGUUGAUAGAAUUCAAUUCUUUCAAUUUAAUAAAAUAAAAACAAGGUAUUUUGGAAGUAACGAAAUCAUGCCAAAAGUGACAUGAUUGUGCAAGGAUUGAUCUCGUUUGUUCUACAUUAAAUUUCUGAAUUGCCUUUGUGGUAGAAAUUGUGGCUAUACUGCCUUUUGGAUAUUCAGUUUUUAUUUUAUUUUAAACAAUGUUACUUUUAAAAAAAAAAAAACUUUUUAGUGGCUGUUGAUGCUGAUGGAGCACCGGUAUCAGUUUCGUGGAGUGGGGAUUCAAGAAGAAAUAUUAUAGUUUGGAUGGAUCAUAGAGCUGUUAAACAAGCUGAGAAAAUUAAUUCUUUUAAUUUACCAGUAUUAUAGUACUGUGGUGGCACCUUUUCUCCUGAAUGCAGCCUCCAAAGGUAUUUAUUCAUAUUGUGUUUGUAAACUCUCGAAAUUGCAAGAAUUCAAUAUUACUGAGUUUUCGAUUUUUGUCAGUUUUUAUUUGGAAAGAUCAUAGUUGCUAGAAUUUGAUUCUUUCAACUUAAAAAGAAUAUGGCAUUUUGAAAGAAAUGAAAUCAUAAUACUACAAGUGACAUGAUUUUCUACGAAUGUAGUUCAAUUGAAUUCUUACAAAUGAUUUAUUCUGAACAAUGAUAAUGUGUUGUUCUAAGAUGGCCUUCCUAUGCCUAUAUCAGACCUAAUCUACAAUGCAUUUAUUUCAAAAUUUUAAGAAUAAUAAGUGCUUUGAUUGAUUCUGAGUUUUCAAUAUUGAGAUUGAUGAGAAAAUAGGUUCUUCUUCUGCCUUUCUUGUUGGUGCUGUAUUUGUUUGUGUUAGUAUUGAAAAUAUUGCAGCUUCUAUGGGUGAAAGAAAAUUUGCAAGAGUCAUGGUCCAUGGUGUUUAGAUGGAUGGAUUUGAGUGAUUGGUUGUCAUAUAUGUAAUUAUUUUAUCUCCAAACAUUCUUAUAUUUAUUAUCAACCAUAAACCUCUGGUACAUCCUCUAAGUAUUUGCCUAUAUGUUUAGGAACUAGGUCUUGAAGCUGGAACUCCUGUGGGGACUUCACUGAUUGAUGCUCAUGCUGGUGGCGUGGGGAUCAUGGAGAGUGUUCCUCUUCCUGACACAAAUUAUGAUGUUAAAGAGCACGAUAAGGAAGCAAUAUGUCAUCAUAUGGCUUUAGUCUGUGGUACUUCUACUUGUCAUAUGGCUGUAUCAUAGAGCAAGCUCUUCAUUCCUGGGGUUUGGGGACCUUUUUGGUCAGCAAUGAUCCCUGAGUACUAGCUUACAGAUGGUGGACAGAGUGCUACUGGGGCAUUAUUAGAUUACAUCAUAGAAAACUAUAUUCGUGGAGUGGGGAUUCAAGAAGAAAUAUUAUAGUUUGGAUGGAUCAUAGAGCUAUUAAACAAGCUGAGAAGAUUAAUUCUUCUAAUUCCCCAGUAUCACAGUACUGUGGUGACGUCCUUUCUCCUGAAAUGCAGCCUCCAAAUGUACUUAUUCAUGUUGUGUUUGUAAACUCUCAAAAUUGCAAGAAUUCAAUGUUACUGAGUUCUCAAUUUCAGUCA